GACGAACGCUGGCGGCGUGCCUAAUACAUGCAAGUCGAACGCUGAAGGAGGAGCUUGCUUCUCUGGAUGAGUUGCGAACGGGUGAGUAACGCGUAGGUAACCUGCCUGGUAGCGGGGGAUAACUAUUGGAAACGAUAGCUAAUACCGCAUAAGAGUAGAUGUUGCAUGACAUUUGCUUAAAAGGUGCAAUUGCAUCACUACUAGAUGGACCUGCGUUGUAUUAGCUAGUUGGUGGGGUAACGGCUCACCAAGGCGACGAUACAUAGCCGACCUGAGAGGGUGAUCGGCCACACUGGGACUGAGACACGGCCCAGACUCCUACGGGAGGCAGCAGUAGGGAAUCUUCGGCAAUGGACGGAAGUCUGACCGAGCAACGCCGCGUGAGUGAAGAAGGUUUUCGGAUCGUAAAGCUCUGUUGUAAGAGAAGAACGAGUGUGAGAGUGGAAAGUUCACACUGUGACGGUAUCUUACCAGAAAGGGACGGCUAACUACGUG
rnacentral:rRNA from 1 species